ACGAAUGCUGGCUGCGUGCUUAACACAUGCAAGUCGAACGGUGAACCAGGGCUUGCCCUGGGGAUCAGUGGCGAACGGGUGAGUAACACGUGGGCAACCUGCCCCUCACUCUGGGAUAAGCCCGGGAAACCGGGUCUAAUACCGGAUACGACCUCAUGCGACAUCACAUGAGGUGGAAAGAACUUCGGUGAGGGAUGGGCCCGCGGCCUAUCAGCUAGUUGGUGAGGUAACGGCCCACCAAGGCGACGACGGGUAGCCGGCCUGAGAGGGCGACCGGCCACACUGGGACUGAGACACGGCCCAGACUCCUACGGGAGGCAGCAGUGGGGAAUAUUGCGCAAUGGGCGAAAGCCUGACGCAGCGACGCAGCGUGAGGGAUGAAGGCCUUCGGGUUGUAAACCUCUUUCAGCGGGGACGAAGCGAAAGUGACGGUACCCGCAGAAGAAGCACCGGCUAACUACGU
rnacentral:rRNA from 1 species